rnacentral:other from 1 species
UUUUCCAUCCCCGUGAGGGGAAAGAGAUUUAAAAC